UCUUGGUUUAAAAAGGGCGAGGCGCUCCUAAACUAAGAGAAUGCCAAUAGUACAAACUACAAAAGCUUCCAAGCCUAAAAUUUGGACCAUGCAAGCACUGCAAACUACCAGUUAGUUUUCAACACAAAAAGGUUCCAAUAGAUGGUUUAUUUAAUAUAGUUUGGGAAAUUUUGUAUUGAUCAUAAAUUAUCCCUAUUUGUACAGAACUUCGUACUUAUCCUUCUAUCCACUAUCUGCUUUUUCUAAUGAUAGUCUUUUUGAAUUUGUCCUUCAACUCUGUUAUGGACAUCACCCUACAAGAACUUCCGUUCUGUGGUUGAACGAUUAUUAACCAACUCAAGACUUUUGCUGACUGAGUUGACCACAUUUAACUCAGCUUUGACCCGUCUCCAAAUUGUUUCGUAGUCCCUUUAGCAGCUUCCAACACCACCACAUGUCACCCUGUUUCGAGGCAUCUCCGUCGCCAGUGGUCACCAUCGCAGACCACCACCAUAACCUUCAACAACCACAAGUUCAUGCCCCAAAUCAUCAAAUG
rnacentral:lncRNA from 1 species